UAGGCAUUUUCAUUGAUUUUGGCUAUGAUUUGAAAUGGACCAUCCCCAUGAGCAUCCAACUUAGAUUUCCGUUUUAAUAGAAAUCAUUCCUUGCGCAAAUGAACCCACACCCAAUCUCCGGGUUCAAAUGAAAUCUUGCGCCUUCCUUUAUUGACAUGGGAUGCUACUUGUUCAUUUUUCUUUUCAAUGUUCUGCCUCGUUUUUUC
rnacentral:lncRNA from 1 species